rnacentral:lncRNA from 1 species
CAAUUUUCACUUUAAUUCCUAUGUUGGAAGAAUCUUUUUUUAGGGUGGCUAUUUAUGGUGCAUUCAGAUUAUUUUACUUCUCCCACUACUUGUCAAACAUACACACAUACACAUUUAUGCACACCACACCCUGUCUCUGAAAGAUAGAGGAACAUAGGUGAAGACUCUGAUGGAAGAUCUAUAUUUCAUCAAAAGUUGUUCUGGUGCAGCAGAAUAGCUGUUUAGUUCUCUGGUCAAUGGAUAAUUUGGCUAAUGUAGUCCCUGGAUCUCCAGGUCUUGAUUAGAUGGAGAACAGAGUGUGUUCCUAUUAACCCUCUUGUAGUCAAAGGGGUAG